UACAGAGGGUGCGAGCGUUAAUCGGAGUUACUGGGCGUAAAGGGCGCGUAGGCGGUUAUAUAAGUGAGAUGUGAAAUCCCUGGGCUUAACCUAGGAACUGCAUCUCAUACUGUAUGACUGAAGUAUUGUAGAGGGUAGUGGAAUUUCCGGUGUAGCGGUGAAAUGCGUAGAGAUCGGAAGGAACACCAGUGGCGAAGGCGGCUACCUGGACAAAUACUGACGCUGAGGCGCGAGAGCGUGGGGAGCAAACAGG
rnacentral:rRNA from 1 species